CCUGUUUUCCAUGUCCAACGUUUGAUCGUCCGUCUUAUUUGAAAAAAAUAUGAAAAAUAAUUAAAAAGACAAGUCACACAUAAAAUAUUAAUCAUGUUUUAUCAUCUAACAACAAUAAAAAUACGAAUUAUAAAAAAAUUUCAUAUAAGACGGAUAGUUAAAGUUGGACAUAGAAACCCAGGGUUUGCCUUUUC
rnacentral:pre_miRNA from 1 species